rnacentral:tRNA from 1 species
AGUCCCGUAGUGAAGGAUCACGUUGGGUUGCAAAUCCAGAAACGCAGAGUAAUACCCUGCCGGGGCUU